rnacentral:rRNA from 1 species
UACGAAGGGGGCUAGCGUUGCUCGGAAUCACUGGGCGUAAAGGGUGCGUAGGCGGGUCUUUAAGUCAGGGGUGAAAUCCUGGAGCUCAACUCCAGAACUGCCUUUGAUACUGAAGAUCUUGAGUUCGGGAGAGGUGAGUGGAACCGCGAGUGUAGAGGUGAAAUUCGUAGAUAUUCGCAAGAACACCAGUGGCGAAGGCGGCUCACUGGCCCGAGUACUGACGCUGAUGCACGAAAGCGUGGGGAGCAAACAGG